ACCUGGCUGGCUUAGCUAGUAGAGCAUGGGACUCUUGAUCUCAGAGUUGUGAGUUCAAGCCCCACAUUGGGUG
rnacentral:tRNA from 1 species